GCUGUGGUUGAAGCCCAGGUUGGCCGUCGGGAGCUGAAAUAGAGGCCAGGACUCCUGGCUCCCCGUCCAGACUCUGAGGACCCAGGAGCCUCCAUGGGUACACUCAGAGGCCACACUAGAUGCAAAAAGAACCAUUUACAGAGAAGUGAGAGGUUCUCAAAGGCUCAACCAAAUGCCUCUGCCAGGAGAAUCUUUCAGAGUGUCCUGGAACAUUGGAAAUAGGCUUAAAGCUUAAAUGAUGAAUCAGAAGAGUUAUGCUGUAUUCUAAUGCUGCCACUAGGGCCACACAGGGUGCCAACAUCCAAUCUCAAGAUCUUCGGGAAAUAUGCUCACCCUCCAAAAUACUUACAGAUGUGUCUCCUCUUUUUUGUAAAAUAAAUGCUCUUCUUAUAUUUGGUGUUUCCUUGGUAUGGCCACAAGAUUAUUUAGUAUGACAUAUUUAAUGGUGAAGAUAAAGAUUUCCAUUUGAUUUCAGUGGACUUUGAAGAUGGAUCACCUCUCUCAUUCAGAUGAAAUUCUUUGGAGAGAAUUUUAUUUCCAAAGUAAGGAUUUUCAUCAAAAUAAAAAUCUAUUCAGCAAUUUGAUUUAAUGUCAUCAAAUUCCAUCACUUCGACUCUGGUCAAGUAAUGCACUGCCUCUUCGUCCUCCUCCCCAAGCAGUGCAGACACUUUUGGAUGGUUAACAAAUGUUGUUACCCAAAAAUCUGGGAUUUUGGCAAUCAAUUCUGACCUCUUCUGAGAAAAUUAUUUACGGAGUUUGUUAUAUUUCUGUUCUACUUUCAAAAUCUCCUCACUGGCUUGUUCAUUAAGUCUGUCUAUUUCAUUUCGUACUUUAUCAAUGUGUUCAAUUGCUUCUUGCUCUUCUUCUCCCUUCUUCAGUAAGCCUGCAGAAGUCAAUGUCUUCUCUGGUCUCAGGGCAGGAGGUGGUCUUGGUUUCUUCACUUGAGGUGGGAGUGGAGACAGGUGUUUGGGGGCCAUGUGGCUAAGGAAGUCCAAGAACCAGACCACAGGUCUCCUCGCUCAUCAGGAAGCAGGCAAAAAACUCAGGGUCAUUUUUUAAGAGCAUUUUCUUAAUAUGAAUAAUCUUUUUUAGUUGACAUUUAAUAAUUGUACAUAUUUAUGGAGUACAGUGUGAUAUUUCAAUACCUGUAUACAAUGCACAAUGAUCAAAUCAAGGUAAUUAGUGUCACCUCAAACAUUUUUUGUGUUGAGAACAUUCAAAGUUCUCUCUUGUAGCCAUUUUAAAAUAUUAAAUAAAUAAUAACUAUCAUCACCCCACAGUGCUAUAGAACACUAGAACUUACUCCUCUUAUCUAGCUGUAAUUUCAUAUUGGUUAAAAAAUCCUUUCCUUAUCUCCCCUUCCCUCUACCCUUCCCAGGUUCUAGUUAGCACUAUUUAGUAAUAGUUUUGAAUAUGAUUUAAGUUAAAGUAACCAUGAUCAUCUGUAGUUUGUACUGUUUUCAGUAGUAAAAAUUCAAGACUUGGACUCUUAAGGUUUCUAAUAAAAAGCAAAUGUUUACUUGUACUUCCCUUUGUUCCUCUUUACCAGUUAUUUCUUUUUAAUGUUUACACUUCGUUUCUUUUUUUUUUUUUUUAAAUAGAGAUGGGAUUUCGCCAUGUUGCCCAGGCCAGGCUGGUCUCGAACUCUUGGGC
rnacentral:lncRNA from 1 species